UGUGGAAUGUGGCCUGGGACUCCACCCGCUGCACUAAGCUGCCCGCAGAGGCUGAGAAGGUGAUAUUGGCUCAAGAAAGGGAGAUAGAUGGUAGCCCAUCACCUUUCCGUCUCCCGUAGAAAAUCACUGAUAACAUCAAAGGGAAGGUAUGCAGUCUGGCGGUGUGUGCUGUGGCUUGGCUUGUGGCCCACGUCCGGAUGCUGGGGCUGGAUGAGCGUGAGAAGUCGCUGCAGAUGAUCCGCCAGCUGGCAGGGCCACUGUUUAGUGAGAACACCCUGCAGUUCUACAAUGAGAGGGUGGUGAUCAUGAACUCGAUCCUGGAGCGCAUGUGUGCCGACGUGCUACAGCAGACGGCCACGCAGAUCAAGUUUCCCUCCACUGGGGUGGACACGAUGCCCUACUGGAACCUGCUGCCCCCCAAGCGGCCCAUCAAGGAGGUGCUGACGGACAUCUUUGCCAAAGUGCUGGAGAAGGGCUGGGUGGACAGCCGCUCCAUCCACAUCUUUGACACCCUGCUGCACAUGGGCGGCGUCUACUGGUUCUGCAACA
rnacentral:sRNA from 1 species